AGUGGAUUACCUCUUAGAAGCUUCAAUCUAAGCUCUAAACUCUUGAAAUCCCAAGAUCUUCCCUCAACAAUCCACCAAGACCAAGCUCCAAGCUUCACAAUGGUGGAAAAGCAAAGAAAAGGGAAAAGAGAAGGAUCAACACUUAAAUCCCAAGCUAAAAAGAGAUCAAAUCCAAAGGGGGUGAAGGGGAGAGGUGCCCUACCUUUCUUCCUGCAAUGGUGAGC
rnacentral:lncRNA from 1 species